GACGAGGGAUCCUAGCGUUGUUCGGAAUCAUUGGGCGUAAAGCGGAUGUAGGUGGCUUUGUAAGUCAGGUGUGAAAGCCUGGGGCUCAACCCCAGAAGUGCAUUUGAUACUGCGAAGCUUGAGUGUCGGAGAGGUUACUAGAAUUGUUGGUGUAGUGGUGAAAUACGUAGAUAUCAACAGGAAUACCGGAGGCGAAGGCGGGUAACUGGCCGAACACUGACACUGAGAUCCGAAAGCGUGGGGAUCAAACAGG
rnacentral:rRNA from 1 species